rnacentral:rRNA from 1 species
CUGAGUACGGCGGAACACGUGAAAUUCCGUCGGAAUCCGGGAGGACCAUCUCCCAAGGCUAAAUACUCCCUAGUGACCGAUAGUGAACCAGUACCGUGAGGGAAAGGUGAAAAGCACCCCGGAAGGGGAGUGAAACAGUUCCUGAAACCGUGUGCCUACAAGUAGUUAGAGCCCGUUAAUGGGUGAUAGCGUGCCUUUUGUAGAAUGAACCGGCGAGUUACGAUUUGUUGCAAGGUUAAGCGGAAAAAGCGGAGCCGUAGCGAAAGCGAGUCUGAAUAGGGCGCAUAAGUAACAGGUCGUAGACCCGAAACCAGGUGAUCUACCCAUGUCCAGGAUGAAGGUAAGGUAAUACUUACUGGAGGUCCGAACCCACGCACGUUGAAAAGUGCGGGGAUGAGGUGUGGGUAGCGGAGAAAUUCCAAUCGAACUUGGAGAUAGCUGGUUCUCUCCGAAAUAGCUUUAGGGCUAGCCUCGAGGUAAAGAGUCAUGGAGGUAGAGCACUGUUUGGACUAGGGGCCCUUCUCGGGUUACCGAAUUCAGAUAAACUCCGAAUGCCAUGUACUUAUACUCGGGAGUCAGACUGCGAGUGAUAAGAUCCGUAGUCGAAAGGGAAACAGCCCAGACCACCAGUUAAGGUCCCCAAAUAUAUGUUAAGUGGAAAAGGAUGUGGGGUUGCUUAGACAACCAGGAUGUUGGCUUAGAAGCAGCCACCAUUGAAAGAGUGCGUAAUAGCUCACUGGUCGAGUGACCCCGCGCCGAAAAUGUACCGGGGCUAAACAUAUUACCGAAACUGUGGAUGAACCUCUUUAGAGGUUCGUGGUAGGAGAGCGUUCUAAGGGCGGUGAAGUCAGACCGGAAGGACUGGUGGAGCGCUUAGAAGUGAGAAUGCCGGUAUGAGUAGCGAAAGAAGGGUGAGAAUCCCUUCCACCGAAUAUCUAAGGUUUCCUGAGGAAGGCUCGUCCGCUCAGGGUUAGUCGGGACCUAAGCCGAGGCCGAUAGGCGUAGGCGAUGGACAACAGGUAGAGAUUCCUGUACCAGUGCUAAUUGUUUAACCGAUGGGGUGACACAGAAGGAUAGGGAAUCGCACGAAUGGAAAUGUGCGUCCAAGCAGUGAGUGUGAGAAGUAGGCAAAUCCGCUUCUCGCGAAGCAUGAGCUGUGAUGGGGAAGGAAAUUAAGUACGGAAGUUCCUGAUUUCACGCUGUCAAGAAAAGCCUCUAGGAAGAGUAGUACUGCCCGUACCGCAAACCGACACAGGUAGAUGAGGAGAGAAUCCUAAGGUGAGCGAGAGAACUCUCGUUAAGGAACUCGGCAAAAUGACCCCGUAACUUCGGGAGAAGGGGUGCUCUAUUAGGGUGCAAGCCCGAGAGAGCCGCAGUGAAUAGGCCCAGGCGACUGUUUAGCAAAAACACAGGUCUCUGCAAAACCGUAAGGUGACGUAUAGGGGCUGACGCCUGCCCGGUGCUGGAAGGUUAAGAGGAG